GUAGGUGAACCUGCGGAAGGAUCAUUAACACGUAUCCAACGUUAAACCCCCCGUGCACUUUCAGUCCUGCUCUGCUCCAGCAGCAAUCUCUGGUAAAUCAUUGUUGAACAGCGUUUGCGGCAUUGAGCGGUAGUUCUAUCGGCAUUGUUUCCCCAAGCAGUCAGUGUCUGACAGUGUCACUGCCUGUGUAAGGAUAGCGCUUCACGAUUUCUGUGACCGAGACACUCGGGCAGAAGCUUUGCCAAAGGGU
rnacentral:misc_RNA from 1 species